AUUGAACGCUGGCGGCAUGCCUUACACAUGCAAGUCGAACGGUAACAGGUCUUCGGAUGCUGACGAGUGGCGAACGGGUGAGUAAUACAUCGGAACGUGCCCGAGAGUGGGGGAUAACGAGGCGAAAGCUUUGCUAAUACCGCAUACGAUCUCAGGAUGAAAGCAGGGGACCGCAGGGCCUUGCGCUCACGGAGCGGCCGAUGGCAGAUUAGGUAGGUGGUGGGAUAAAAGCUUACCAAGCCGACGAUCUGUAGCUGGUCUGAGAGGACGACCAGCCACACUGGGACUGAGACACGGCCCAGACUCCUACGGGAGGCAGCAGUGGGGAAUUUUGGACAAUGGGCGCAAGCCUGAUCCAGCCAUGCCGCGUGCAGGAUGAAGGCCUUCGGGUUGUAAACUGCUUUUGUACGGAACGAAAAGACUCCUUCUAAUAAAGGGGGUCCAUGACGGUACCGUAAGAAUAAGCACCGGCUAACUACGUGCCAGCCGCCGCCGUAACAC
rnacentral:rRNA from 1 species